CUGGAAUUAGAGCCAUUAGCCACCAUGCCUGGCCUACAUUUUGCUUUUUAAGGGUUAAAAAACAAACAAUGCAAAUUGUCAGAGAUAUGCAAAAGUUGAAUAAUUUUUUGUACACCUUAGAAAUAGCCUAAAAAGCUUUACAUUUUGGCUUUUUAGCUACAGAUUAUAUUGUAGUCUUGAUACCAAACUUAGUUUGAACCUCACUGUCUUUUCCUUUGUCUAAGUUAAAUUCACUUACG
rnacentral:lncRNA from 1 species